rnacentral:lncRNA from 1 species
CUGUCAUCUAUUGAAGUGAAUACAUCUGCAUUCAUUUUCAUCCCCCUUCUUGGCACCACAGAUAGUCACAGCAUCCAUCCUCUUUGAUGUCUGAAGUUCUGCCAAAAAGUCUCUUUCAACUUGAUAGCAUUGGUCUUGCAUACGAGGCAAAACAAAAGCUACUGUUUAGGGGACACACGGCACAUCUUGCUUCAGAGACCUCCUUCCUUCGUGUGUGGCAGCCUCACUGGUGUGGUUCUUUGGCAACAGGAUUCAGUGUCUCUAGCACACUUUUGCUUUGCUGUCUUCUUCAGAAAAUUAUUUACCUGGUCAUCCUGACCAGCAGAGGUUUUGAGGGUAAAUGAAGCUUCAGCCAGAGCUGUGCCUUGUCAGAAAAAAAAAAGUGUGUCUGUGGUGUAAAGAGGAUACUGAGCUGAAGAGGAGAGCUGGGAAGCCCCUAACUUCAGUUUCUUUGAAGCGCUGCUCCCCAGACAUGAGGAGUGAUAGGAAUUUCUUUAAUUUCUACAGAAAUCCCUCUAACAGUUUAGUGGAGAAUGAAAUAGAUGGCUGUGAGAAUUGAGAGCAUGAACGUGUGCAGACUGGUGGAGAAGCCCAAGUUUUGGCAUGAGAAAUACAGUGAAAAAUGCAGUAGAGUAAAUGGAGUGAAGGACACUUGCGAGAAUGCGGAUCGGUAGGACGUGACCUGUAAGAGGAACACCCAGGAGUGGUGGAACUGUUGGAGAAUCAUCUACAUGGACCAUUCAUUGAUAACAACAUCUGUGUUUAAAGAACUGCCCAAGACUCGGUAAUUUGGAAGGAAAGAGGUUUAAUUGACUCACAGUUCUGCAUGACUGGGGAGGCCUCAGGAAACUUACAAUUAUGGUGGAAGGGGAAGCAAAUAUGUCCUUCGUCACAUGAUGGCAGGAAGAAGAAGUAUGAGAGUCGAGUGAAGGGGGAAGCCCCUUAUAAAACCUUCAGAUCUCGUGAGAACUUACUAUCAUGAGAAUAACAUGGAGAAAACCACCCCCGUGAUUCAAUUACCUCCCACUUGGUCCCUCCCACGACACUUGGGGAUUAUAGAAACUACAAUUCAAGAUGAAAUUUGCGUGGGGACACAGCCAAACCAUAACAAUGAUAAACGUCAUACUGGAAGGGCAGAGCAGAAGAGAGAGAUGGGGUUCAGGGACACUGUGGUGCUCAGGCAGUCGCCUCACCAUCCAACCCUGGAAUGACAACCUGAAGACUCAGUAUUUGUGUCUAUCACCUUCAGCCAAACACAGGACUAACUGAUCCUCUUACAAAUUCACGAAACAGGUGUGCAAUUUUAAGAUGUAAUUUGGAGACAAUCACAUUCUGACUGUAUUGUUCAGUUAAGAAAGGGUUAGUCUGAGUGUGUGAUCUGAUCUCUUCCUCAUACAAGAAAUCCAUCAGUGCCUGGGAGUCACUGAAUUCAUACUCUCAGGCGGCAUGAUCUCCUUCAAAUUGCAGCGAUGAACUAGAGAACUCCCUGAAGAAAUGUGAACUGAUUGUGUAAUUAAGAGGUGGCUCUUCAUUAUCCCUUCUUGUUUUUUAAAUUGGACUCAUGGGUAGCUAUUCCAGGAGUAUAGAGGAAAGAAGAAAAGCAAUAAGCAGCCUAGUUCUUAUUCUCACCCUAGGUAUAUGGCACACAGGAGGGAAGUCUCUGAUUUAACUUAUAUUAGGCUAAACAAUUAAACACACAUGUGCCAGUAUGUGAAUAUAUUUCACUUGUGUAAUCUUAAAAUGAUAUACCAAUAAAAUAAAUAAAUCUUACGAACUAUCACUGGACAAGUCAUGCUUUUUAUAAAUAGUG